CCUCGGCGGGUGUCGCGGCGCUGGGCCCCUAGGGGUCUGGCCCGCGGCGCCGGCCCGCCGGUGGCCCCCGACUCUGUCUCUAGCGCUGCAUCUCCGAGUCUAAAAAAUGAGUCAAAACUUUCAACAACGGAUCUCUUGGUUCUGGCAUCGAUGAAGAACGCAGCGAAAUGCGAUACGUAAUGUGAAUUGCAGAAUUCAGUGAACCAUCGAAUCUUUGAACGCACAUUGCGCCCGCCGGCAUCCCGGCGGGCAUGCCUGUCCGAGCGUCAUUUCCACCCUCAGGCCCCGCCUGGUGUUGGGGACCCGCGUCCGCGCGGCCCCCGAAAGACAGCGGCGGCACCGGUCCGGUCCCGAGCGUAGUAGCACACGCCGCUCUGGGUCCCGGGCGGGCGCCCGCCGUAAAACCCCAACUAUACAAGGUUGACCUCGGAUCAGGUAGGAAUACCCGCUGAACUUAAGC
rnacentral:rRNA from 1 species